CGCAAGUGUCCUCUCUAUGCCCUAUACUCACUCCGAACUGCAGAGCCCUUGAAGUGGGUACUCUGAAGGAAACAUGGCAAUACUGUAUGAAUGUACCCUUCGCAAACAGUCUUGUGGAAGGGCCCUCUGAGACAAGAUUCAUUUUCUCACUUUCGUUUUGAACGAGCUUUCAAGUGGCAUCCCCUCUCGCAGGAGUGCCCUGCAAGGAAGCAAAAAAUGCAGUUUUGAAUUCGCCCCGGAACAUCGAAGUGCCGUUACCUCAGACGAGUAACAGGUGGUCCAAAGAUCUGGUCUGUGAGUUCCAGAGGGCUUUGGAUCUGUCUGGUGGGGUAGUCGCCCAUGUAUUUCAGGAUAGGUGGACACCAUUUCAUUCAAGGAAUCAACACUUUCUUGGAUUAUACCCUACCUGGAUAACAGGCCCUAUUAAGUUAGGAUCUCAGAGUGCCUUUCCAACAUGUCAAAGUGGAGUACUCAUCAUCUGAGGCUCAAUUUUGUCAAAUCCCUCUCUAACGUAGUCAAAGGCCACACAGUCAAAAGUUCCAGGUUUAAGAUGCUUGAUGUCAUCCUAGAUGACCAGCCCUUCUUUGACUGACCCUAUUAACUUUCUUACUGCACAUUCCUGAUCUUAUUACAAACGGUUCAUCAGUGCAUGCUUCUCUUCGUAAUAUUUAAUCAAAAUGUAAUCCUUUGUUUAUCCUCUGUAACUACUUGUCUUUUCAAAUGACAACAGUUGUAGCCAUGCAGGCAAUAGGAUAAUGUUAAUUCUAUCAGAAAAGGCUCUCUGGAUUAUUGGGAUUAAUAGAAAUACUUAUAUAAUUUGGCAUAAGCCUCAUCCUACGGUUCAGAGCUCGGAUACUUGCUUGAACCGUCAGAUCCUGCCGGAAGCGAUGACUGGACCAAAACUGGUGAUGAUGGGGUGGAGGGGGGUGAAAACAACAGAAUAUGCCAACAAUGAGAGACAGUUGAGUGGGCUUAUAAAGUGGUGGCUGUAUUGUGAUUGGAUGAGAUGCCUGACAGAAUGAAUCCCAAAUACUUCCUGCUAGAACUACGCUUAUUGUAGGUAUUGUUUUAGCAGACUCACAGUGGGUCUGGCUUCAUUCUGGUAUGUAAUGCCCACUUACGUAAAUUCCUGAUGGAUAAAAAUUAAGUCAUGCCUUCCAUGUUUUUUUGUUGUUGAGAAUCCUGUUUCACUUGGAAAUAUGUCACAUUACAGAAGUAAAAUGAGUUGAGAACGGCAAUUUAUGUUGAUCUUAAUAGUUAUGUUUGUUAAUGAAACCCACAUUUUAAACUCUUUCUACAACAUUUUCUUACCAUGGCAAUAAACCUAUUUUUUUAUUUUAUUUCUCCCCUUUUCACCCCAAUUUGGAAUGCCCAGUUCCCAAUGCGCUCUAGGUCCUCGUGGUGGCGUAGUAACUCGCCUCAAUCCGGGUUGUGGAGGAUGAAUCUCAGUUGCCUCCGCGUCUGAGACCGUUAAUCCACGCAUCUUAUUAUGUGGCUUGUUGAGCGUGUUACCGCGGAGACAUAGUGCAUGUGGAGGUUUCACACUAUUCUCCAAUGUAUCCACGCACAACUCACCACAUGCCCCACCGAGAGCGAGAACCACAUUAUAGCGACCACGAGGAGGUUACCCUAUGUUACUCUACCCUCCCUAGCAACCGGGCCAAUUUGGUUGUCACUCAGCACGCCCUGGAUUCGAACUCACGACUCCAGGGGUGGUAGUCAGCGUCUUU